ensembl:lncRNA
AGAAUGCAGUAGGACUGUCAGAGCAAAAUCACUCUUUCAGAAUUCAAAAAAUUCCCUGUCUUCGUGGAUGACAUUUAUUUACCGGUUUUCUCAGGGCUUGCACCUCAGGCAAAUCGACAUGAAGCAAGAUGGGAUUGCAAGAAGUUCCCGAACUAUGUCCAGAAUGGCUGCAGCAUUAAGAAAGGUUUGCAGUUGUGCUAUGAGGCGUUAUAAACGAAGAAGCGGGCAAAUUAUUGGACAUCCAAGAGAAUUUGCUGUUAUUGACGAAAGCAGCUUCCGUCAUAAACGGAAGUAUGGCAGAGGGAGGGCAGCCACAACUUGGAGACGAAAAAAGUGGGUCUUUGGCAUACUAGGAGUAAAGGAUGAGUGACGACAUCCAGUCUUACGCCUUGUAAAGAGAAGAGGAAGGCAGAAUCUUGUACCAAUCGUGGUCAAGCAUGUGCAACCUGGCACCACUAUUAUAAGUGACGAAUGGAGAGCGUAUAGAGGUGCAUUAGCUGCUAUGGGCUACACUCACUUUAGAGUAAAUCACAGACAGUGGUUCGUGGAGCCCACACCCAGCAUCUCAAGAGAGCGUCUACUAUUUGGAGACUCAGAGGAAACAGAACAGAAAAAAUCCUGAAGCAACACCUCUCAGUCAUUGAAUGGACUCACUGGCUGGCUGACAAACAUAGCCAGGGUCCCCUUGGUAGACUGUUAAAAGACAUUCAUCAUCACUAUCCUGUGUAGGAGUUCACCACAAAACAAGUUUUUUUUUUUGUUUUUUUUUUUAAUAACUAGCUGCUUGUUUUACUAUUGCUGUUAAAAAUAAAAAGUGUUACAUUUGCCUGUUGACAGUACAUCAUGUUUACAGGAGACAUUGUUUUUG